AGGAUAUGAUGAGGGAAAACUAGCGCAUAAUCGCUUGAACCUCUCCUAAUAUUCGUACAAAGUCUCACCAGUGAGCUGCAUAAUGUCAUAGAUUUCUUUUCUGAUGUU